rnacentral:lncRNA from 1 species
AAAGUUCAAGGAAUCGGUAUAAUAGGUACUUAUCCUGAUCUAACAUAUUGAGGUUCUCAGAGCGUUGUUAUGGUAAUGAUUUUGUUUUGAUUUCACUCAAAUUUUAUAAAGUAAGCAACCUUUAUACUUAUUGGGUGUGUUAAAAUUUUUGUUAUGGCUCAAGAAAGUUGAGGGAAAUAGAUAAUAGAAAAUUUUUCACAUUCAGGACUUAACUUAAAAAAAAU